GAGAGAAUGAGGAGACAGACGGAGAAGAGAUGCUGGGCACAGGGGUCCAGAUGCACCUAAAGCCACCCAGUCACAGAGAGCCAUCUCCCCCCUUGCAGGUGGAUCCUAAGUUAAGGGGCCUGGCCCAGCGCCCCCUCCAUAUGGCUGCCCCCUGGAGCUCCUUCCUGCGAGCACACUGAAUGAAGGCUGC